AACGAACGCUGGCGGCAGGCUUAACACAUGCAAGUCGAGCGCCCCGCCAGGGGAGCGGCCGACGGGUGGGUAACGCGUGGGGACGUACCUUUUGGUUCGGAACAACUCCGGGAAACUGGAGCUAAUACCGGAUAAGCCCUAACGGGGAAAGAUUUAUCGCCGAAGGAUCGGCCCGCGUCUGAUUAGCUAGUUGGUGAGGUAACGGCUCACCAAGGCGACGAUCAGUAGCUGGUCUGAGAGGAUGAUCAGCCACACUGGGACUGAGACACGGCCCAGACUCCUACGGGAGGGAGCAGAGGGGAAUAUUGGACAAUGGGCGCAAGCCUGAUCCAGCCAUGCCGGGUGAGUGAUGAAGGCGUUAGGGAUGUAAAGCUCUUUUGUCCGGGAAGAUAAUGACUGUACCGGAAGAAUAAGCCCCGGCUAACUUCGUG
rnacentral:rRNA from 1 species